UACGGAGGGUGCAAGCGUUAUCCGGAUUCACUGGGUUUAAAGGGUGCGUAGGAGGACAGGUAAGUCAGUGGUGAAAUCUCCGAGCUUAACUUGGAACUGCCGUUGAUACUAUCUGCCUUGAAUAUUGUGGAGGUGAGCGGAAUAUGUCAGUGUAGCGGUGAAAUGCUUAGAUAUGACAUAGAACACCAAUUGCGAAGGCAGCUCGCUACACAUAUAUUGACUCUGAGGCACGAAAGCGUGGGGAUCAAACAGG
rnacentral:rRNA from 1 species